AAGUCGUAACAAGGUUUCCGUAGGUGAACCUGCGGAAGGAUCAUCACGAGAGGUCGCCGCAAGGCGCACCACAACACUGUGUUGCCGAGCGAUGAGUGCAGUCAGCGCGAGCGCGCAGCGCGAACGCUGCUGCACACGUCUAUUGACACCAUGCAAACUGAACUAGCUGAAUAGCAACCAACAACAAACACAACUGUUAGCAACGGAUCACUUGGUUCUC
rnacentral:misc_RNA from 1 species